rnacentral:misc_RNA from 1 species
AAUUCUCAACUAUUAUCAGCUUUUGCUGAUGAUGGCUUGGAUAUGGGGGUUUAUUUUGCUGGCUUCACAGAAUGUCAGCUCCCCUUAAAUGCAUUAGCCGGUGCCCCGCGUGGACUGUCUAUUGGUGUGAUAAUUAUCUACGCCGUGGACAUCUACAAUCAUAUGGGUUUGUACUGCUUCCAACCGUCUGUUUACUCAGACAAUACAUGACA